rnacentral:rRNA from 1 species
AAUGAUACCCAGGUAGUCCACGCCGUAAACGAUGUCGACUUGGAGGUUGUUCCCUUGAGGAGUGGCUUCCGGAGCUAACGCGUUAAGUCGACCGCCUGGGGAGUACGGCCGCAAGGUUAAAACUCAAAUGAAUUGACGGGGGCCCGCACAAGCGGUGGAGCAUGUGGUUUAAUUCGAUGCAACGCGAAGAACCUUACCUACUCUUGACAUCCAGAGAACUUAGCAGAGAUGCUUUGGUGCCUUCGGGAACUCUGAGACAGGUGCUGCAUGGCUGUCGUCAGCUCGUGUUGUGAAAUGUUGGGUUAAGUCCCGCAACGAGCGCAACCCUUAUCCUUUGUUGCCAGCGGUUCGGCCGGGAACUCAAAGGAGACUGCCAGUGAUAAACUGGAGGAAGGUGGGGAUGACGUCAAGUCAUCAUGGCCCUUACGAGUAGGGCUACACACGUGCUACAAUGGCGUAUACAAAGAGAAGCGACCUCGCGAGAGCAAGCGGACCUCAUAAAGUACGUCGUAGUCCGGAUUGGAGUCUGC